rnacentral:rRNA from 1 species
UGAAGCUGGAUUCGCUAGUAAUCGCGCAUCAGCCAUGGCGCGGUGAAUACGUUCCCGGGCCUUGUACACACCGCCCGUCAAGCCAUGAAAGCCGGGGGCGCCUGAAGUCCGUGACCGCGAGGGUCGGCCUAGGGUGAAACCGGUGAUUGGGGCUAAGUCGUAACAAGGUAAC